rnacentral:rRNA from 1 species
UCGAAAGGGAAUCGGGUUAAUAUUCCCGAACCAGGACGUGGAUGUUGAGUGGUAACACAAGCAAAGCCGGGGACGACGGCGGGAGCCCCGACGAGAGUUUUCUUUUCUUGUUAACAGAUUUCAAUGACCCUGGAAUCGGAUUGACCGGAGAUAGGGUUAUCGGUCUGGGAAAGGCGGUCGCUUUUGGACCGCUUCGGUGCGCUCUCGACGUUCCUUGAAAACCUGGCGGCGUGUCUUAUUCGCACUCCUGG